AAAGAAUGGUUCUUUUAGCAGACGACUUUGACUCCAACAUCCUGGAAAAAUUACAUUAAAAAAUAGAUAAAAUUGACAGUUUGUUUGGCCAAAAGUGGAAUACCGGAAUCCUCUCAAGGGUCUGUCCAGUUGAGUUAAGCUUCAGACAUCAGAUUGACAAGGAAAAAAAAGAAAGUAGAAGGCAGUACUCCAUUCCUCAUCAUAUUUAGUUUUACUUGUACUAGUUCUCUCUUCUUGUCUUCUCUCACUCUGUCCGCCAUUAGUGGAGCUGUAUCUGGUGGUGUGGAUCCUCCAAAAGCACCACAACCAAUAUCCUAGAAAGGAGGAAGCUUUGGGGUUGAUCUUGAUUGGCAUUCUUUCUGCAGGGUUGACGUCCGAUCUUUCAUCUGAGUCGAGAAAAAUGGUCAGGCAAAGAAUUCAGAUCAAGAGGAUUGAUAACUUGACAGCUAGACAAGUGACUUUUUCAAAGAGAAGAAGAGGGCUUUUCAAGAAAGCUCAGGAGCUCUCCACACUUUGUGAUGCUGAGAUAGCCCUCAUAGUCUUCUCAGCAACAGGCAAGCUCUUCGAGUAUUGUAGCUCAAGUAUGAUGCAAGUUAUUGAAAGGCACCGCCUAUGUUCCGAGGACAUUGGGAGGCAAGACAAGCAUCCACCUCAUCACACGCAGCGGGAGAAUCAUACCCAUGCCAUGCUUGCUGAGGAAAUCAAGGAGAAAACCGCAGAACUGAGACAUCUCAAAGGUGAAGAGCUAGUAGGACUGAGCAUGGAAGACUUGGUUAAACUCGAAAAGUUGGUUGAAGCAGGGUUAAGUCGUAUUGCCAAAACCAAGGGUGACAAAUUCAUGAAAGAAAUUGGUAUUCUCAAGAAAAAGGAAGCAUUAUUAAAGGAAGAGAAUGCAAAGUUGAGACAAAAAGUAGCAGGCACAUCGGAAGACGAAACACCUCUGCUGGAACAAGGGAUUUCAUCCGAAUCAGUGACCCGCUUAAGCGACCAAGCCGGAAGUUGUCCUCGGGACCUCAACAAUUCGGACACAUUUCUCCAGCUGGGGUAUGUUUGUUUCAAGUCAAAUAUGGAUCGGAUAAUUUGUUACAAGAAUAAAACGAAUCACAUAUGUGGAAUAUAAUAUGUGAAAUCCAUCCAACAUUUGGAUCUUGUAUCUGGAUGACAUGCUGCAUAUCAGCUAAAUGGGGGGCAUCUCAUUCUGUGUGAUUUUGUCACAACAGAUUGCUAGUAUUUAAGCAAGAAGAACAAAACGAAACUAAAGUAAGAUUUCAUUUUCAGAAUGCAUGAUUCAAGGCCAUGUGAUCGUCUAGCAAUGACGUGAAAAGAAAAGUGAAACAGCUAGUAAGCUUUCACAAGGCACUCUUUUUAAUGCUCCUGGAUUGAAGUUUUUCUUUAGUAGCAUGGCAACUGCUAGCUAUGUUGUGAGAUUAGAGUCAGACAAAUUGGAAUGCACAAAUUAUUGUAUGUGGAAAAAAGGGGAGGUUUGGAGAAUUGUUGUUUGUUGGGCGUUAAUGAUACGUUGUAUGAAUAGGUGUUUGCGGUUGCAUAAAACAGCGCUAGCAUGCAUGGAGGAUGAGAUUGCGGUCGCAGAAGAUCGAAUAUAUAAUUUGAGCAUAGCUGGCUCUAUGAUGCCCAGAAAUUGUAGUUUAUGUUGCAUUAUUUUUUUAAAAAAAAUAACAUGCAUGUAUGUCAGGCAUGCGGUUCUCUGAGUACGUAGAGGCCUCCAUGCUCUGAAAUUUUCUUUGACGAAUAAAAAUGGCUCUAUUAAACA